GCUCCAUUGGCGCAGUCGGUUAGCGCGUGGUACUUAUACAAUGCCAAGGUCACCAGUUCGAGCCUGGUAUGGAGCA
rnacentral:ncRNA from 14 species